AGGUAGAGGGGUUUUAGUCGGUAGGUCCGAGGAUUUCUUCCUCGGGAAUCCGACUCUAACCCAGUCGUAGGGACGGCUGGGUGUUUUUUGAAGAUUUCCCCUCUUCC
rfam:Agrilus planipennis Contig8718, whole genome shotgun sequence.